rnacentral:rRNA from 1 species
GGGGAAUCUUGCACAAUGGGCGGAAGCCUGAUGCAGCGACGCCGCGUGAGGGAUGACGGCCUUCGGGUUGUAAACCUCUUUCGCCAGGGACGAAGCCUUCGGGUGACGGUACCUGGAUAAGAAGCACCGGCCAACUACGUGCCAGCAGCCGCGGUAAUACGUAGGGUGCGAGCGUUGUCCGGAAUUACUGGGCGUAAAGAGCUCGUAGGCGGUUUGUCGCGUCGUCUGUGAAAUUCUGCAGCUUAACUGCAGGCGUGCAGGCGAUACGGGCAGACUUGAGUACCACAGGGGAGACUGGAAUUCCUGGUGUAGCGGUGAAAUGCGCAGAUAUCAGGAGGAACACCGGUGGCGAAGGCGGGUCUCUGGGUAGUAACUGACGCUGAGGAGCGAAAGCGUGGGUAGCGAAC